CAUUUUUAUAUCUAAGCGGGUUGGAAUUAUAAAUUCCGGCUCGAAGAAGACGCUUAGAUAUCAGCAGUUUUAUUCUGCUAGAAGUGC
rnacentral:tRNA from 1 species